rnacentral:rRNA from 1 species
UCCGUAGGUGGAUAAUUAAGUCAGAGGUGAAAUCCUGCAGCUUAACUGUAGAAUUGCCUUUGAUACUGGUUAUCUUGAGUCAUUAUGAAGUGGUUAGAAUGUGUAGUGUAGCGGUGAAAUGCAUAGAUAUUACACAGAAUACCGAUUGCGAAGGCAGAUCACUAAUAAUGUACUGACACUGAGGGACGAAAGCGUGGGGAGCGAACAGGAUUAGAUACCCUGGUAGUCC